rnacentral:rRNA from 1 species
GACCAGACUCCUACGGGAGGCAGCAGUGGGGAAUAUUGCACAAUGGGGGAAACCCUGAUGCAGCGACGCCGCGUGAGUGAAGAAGUAUUUCGGUAUGUAAAGCUCUCUCAGUAGGGAAGAAAAUGACGGUACCUGACUAAGAAGCCCCGGCUAACUACGUGCCAGCAGCCGCGGUAAUACGUAGGGGGCAAGCGUUAUCCGGAUUUACUGGGUGUAAAGGGAGCGUAGACGGUAGAGCAAGUCUGAAGUGAAAGCCCGCGGCUCAACUGCGGGACUGCUUUGGAAACUGUUCAACUGGAGUGCUGGAGAGGUGAGCGGAAUUCCUAGUGUAGCGGUGAAAUGCGUAGAUAUUAGGAGGAACACCAGUGGCGAAGGCGGCCUGCUGGACUGCAACUGACGUCGAGGCUCGAAGGCGUGGGGAGCAAACAGGAUUAGAUACCCCUGUAGC